rnacentral:rRNA from 1 species
UGGGGAAUAUUGCACAAUGGGCGCAAGCCUGAUGCAGCCAUGCCGCGUGUGUGAAGAAGGCCUUCGGGUUGUAAAGCACCUUCAGCGGGGAGGAAGGCGAUAAGGCUAAUAACCUUGUCGAUUGACGUUACCCGCAGAAGAAGCACCGGCUAACUCCGUGCCAGCAGCUGCGGUCAUACGGAGGGUGCAAGCGUUAAUCGGAAUUACUGGGCGUAAAGCGUACGCCGGCGGUCGGACAAGUCGGAUGUGAAAUCCCCGGGCUCAACCUGGGAACUGCGUUCGAAACUGGCAGGCUAGAGUCUUGUAGAGGGGGGUAGAAUUCCAGGUGUAGCGGUGAAAUGCGUAGAGAUCUGGAGGUAUACCGGUGGCGAAGGCGGGUCCCUGAACAAAGACUGACGCUCAGGUGCGAAAGCGUAGGGAGCAAACGGG